rnacentral:pre_miRNA from 1 species
GAAACUGACAGAAGAGAGUGAGCACACAAAGGCACUUUGCAUGUCCGAUGCUUUUGCUUCUCUUGCGUGCUCACUGCUCUAUCUGUCAGAUUC